rnacentral:rRNA from 1 species
AUUGAACGCUAGCGGCAGGCUUAACACAUGCAAGUCGAGCGGAGAUGAGGUGCUUGCACCUUAUCUUAGCGGCGGACGGGUGAGUAAUGCUUAGGAAUCUGCCUAUUAGUGGGGGACAACAUUCCGAAAGGAAUGCUAAUACCGCAUACGCCCUACGGGGGAAAGCAGGGGAUCUUCGGACCGUGCGCUAAUAGAUGAGCCUAAGUCGGAUUAGGUAGUUGGUGGGGUGAAGGCCUACCAAGGCGACGAUCUGUAGCGGGUCUGAGAGGAUGAUCCGCCACACUGCGACUGAGGCACGGCCCAGACUCCUACGGGAGGCAGCAGUGGGGAAUAUUGGACAAUGGGCGGAAGCCUGAUCCAGCCAUGCCGCGUGUGUGAAGAAGGCCUUUUGGUUGUAAAGCACUUUAAGCGAGGAGGAGGCUACCUGGAUUAAUACUCUAGGAUAGUGGACGUUACUCGCAGAAUAAGCACCGGCUAACUCUGUGCCAGCCGCCGCAGUAAGAC